GGGUGAAGGUAGUCACUGUGCAACGAACUCUCGGCCACCCAUGAAUGUGAGCACCUGCAGUGACUGAUUUGCAUCGAUAAAACUGAACCACCACUAGUAGCAUCGUUGGAUUGCACGACCACCAUAUGCAUCUACCAUGCACAUUGCAUUUUGCUGUGGCCAUCUUGUCUACUGGCAUCUCACACAAGCUCUAUAGCACCCUUCGGAGCAUUUACUACAGCAAGAGUUCCGUUUACUGAAAGAAGAACAAGGGUGCAGAAUACACACACGACAUCAA